CGGCGUGCUUAACACAUGCAAGUCGAACGAACCUUCGGGUUAGUGGCGGACGGGUGAGUAACGCGUGAGAAUCUGCCCUCAGGAGGGGGAUAACGGCUGGAAACGGCCGCUAAUACCCCAUAUGCCGAGAGGUGAAAUGAAUUUCGCCUGAGGAUGAGCUCGCGUCUGAUUAGCUAGUUGGUGUGGUAAAGGCUCACCAAGGCAUCGAUCAGUAGCUGGUCUGAGAGGAUGAUCAGCCACACUGGGACUGAGACACGGCCCAGACUCCUACGGGAGGCAGCAGUGGGGAAUUUUCCGCAAUGGGCGCAAGCCUGACGGAGCAACGCCGCGUGAGGGAUGAAGGCCUCUGGGCUGUAAACCUCUUUUAUCAAGGAAGAAGAUCUGACGGUACUUGAUGAAUAAGCCACGGCUAAUUCCGUGCCAGCAGCCGCGGUAAUACGGGAGUGGCAAGCGUUAUCCGGAAUUAUUGGGCGUAAAGCGUCCGCAGGCGGUUUUACAAGUCUGUCGUUAAAGCGUGGAGCUCAACUCCAUUUCGGCGAUGGAAACUGUAAGACUAGAGUGUGGUAGGGGCAGAGGGAAUUCCCGGUGUAGCGGUGAAAUGCGUAGAUAUCGGGAAGAACACCAGUGGCGAAGGCGCUCUGCUGGGCCAUAACUGACGCUCAUGGACGAAAGCCAGGGGAGCGAAAGGGAUUAGAUACCCCUGUAGUCCUGGCCGUAAACGAUGAACACUAGGUGUCGGGGGAAUCGACCCCCUCGGUGUCGUAGCCAACGCGUUAAGUGUUCCGCCUGGGGAGUACGCACGCAAGUGUGAAACUCAAAGGAAUUGACGGGGGCCCGCACAAGCGGUGGAGUAUGUGGUUUAAUUCGAUGCAACGCGAAGAACCUUACCAGGGUUUGACAUCCUGCGAAUCCCUUGGAAACUUGGGAGUGCCUUCGGGAGCGCAGUGACAGGUGGUGCAUGGCUGUCGUCAGCUCGUGUCGUGAGAUGUUGGGUUAAGUCCCGCAACGAGCGCAACCCACGUCUUUAGUUGCCAGCAUUAAGUUGGGCACUCUAGAGAGACCGCCGGUGAUAAACCGGAGGAAGGUGUGGAUGACGUCAAGUCAUCAUGCCCCUUACAUCCUGGGCUACACACGUACUACAAUGCUACGGACAAAGGGCCGCAAACUCGCGAGAGCUAGCAAAUCCCAUAAACCGUGGCUCAGUUCAGAUCGUAGGCUGCAACUCGCCUACGUGAAGGAGGAAUCGCUAGUAAUCGCAGGUCAGCAUACUGCGGUGAAUACGUUCCCGGGCCUUGUACACACCGCCCGUCACACCAUGGAAGUUGGCCACGCCCGAAGUCGUUACUCCAACCCUUGUGGAGGAGGAUGCCGAAGGUGGG
rnacentral:rRNA from 1 species